rnacentral:rRNA from 1 species
UUAUGGCUCAGGAUGAACGCUAGCGUACAGGCUUAACACAUGCAAGUCGUGGGGCAGCAUGGUCUUAGCUGCUAAGGCUGAGGGCGACCGGCGCACGGGUGAGUAACGCGUAUCCAACCUACCCCAUAGUAGGGGAUAGCCCGUAGAAAUGCGGAUUAAUACCCUAUGUUUUUCCGAGGAGGACAUCUGACUUGGAACAAAGAUUCAUCGCUAUGGGAUGGGGAUGCGUCCGAUUAGCUUGUUGGCGGGGUGACGGCCCACCAAGGCGACGAUCGGUAGGGGUUCUGAGAGGAAGGUCCCCCACACUGGUACUGAGACACGGACCAGACUCCUACGGGAGGCAGCAGUGAGGAAUAUUGGUCAAUGGGCGAGAGCCUGAACCAGCCAAGUAGCGUGCCAGGAAGACGGCCCUACGGGUUGUAAACUGCUUUUAUCAGGGGAUAAAGUGUGGGACGCGUCCCUCAUUGCAGGUACCUGAUGAAUAAGGACCGGCUAAUUCCGUGCCAGCAGCGGC